rnacentral:lncRNA from 1 species
CUUAGAGUUUGAAAGUGAGUUUAUAAAGUCACCUUCUCUUUUCCCUGUUUCAGGCACUCUAGGACUUACUGUCUCCUAGCUUUAAAAUGGGAAAAGAUAGCACAGAAAGAAAGGAACAGAGACCCUCAGCAAUAGGUCCUGCUCUGACCGCCACCUCUGCCCUCCCCCCUGUCACACCCGAGAGAGAGCGAGGACAGUGGACUGGGGCUCUCGGGCCAACCGUGACCACACCUUCCAGACGCCUCCUGUAUAGCAGCCACACAGGAGCCAGGAUUCAGCUUCUCAAGAUCUUUGUAACUGCUCCGUCACACCUCUUCCUGUUAUCCCACAUCCAAACUCUCCACUCACUACUUACAAAUAGAAACCGUCAGAUUCAGUCGACUCAGACUCCUCCCCAUCCCAGGGACCGAGGGAGGCGGGUGGUGUUGAGGAGAAGACUCCAGUGCACCGAGGGGUCGUGGAACCUGCUCACUGCUGCAGCCAAAACAGCAGUGGAGCCAGCACCAUGAAGCCGCAGAGCCAGCAACCCAGACUGCGUCCUGAGCUCGGGCCUAAAUAACUAAGAGCAAACGCAUCUUGAAUUCUCACCCCCGUUUCUAGGCCAGAUAUCCCUAAUUAUUUUCAAAGCCUUUUAAGCUGCAUAAUCUCUACCAGCUCAUUUGUCCCUAAUUGCCUCUGUUUCCCUGUAGGGAUUGGCAGGUCCUAAAUUUAAAAAGUUUUAUUGAUAACCACUUUGGCAAGGUUUUUUGUUUCCUAGUAGAAACAAACAUGCCAGGAAAGAAAACGCUACAAGAUAGAGUUAGGAUCAUGGGAUUUACCAUUUCCUUCAACACAGAGUAGGGACAAAUCUAGGUCCUCCUGCGUUCUGGCAGCUGGAGGCACAGGACAAAAGAGUGUCAGACUUGGGUCUCUUGCACCAGGUAAAGGUUCGUGCUUCAGUCUCGCCAGCUGGGAAAUGGAACAAAUGAUGACUUGGCCUCACUGAGCACAGCAAGAUGACCAAACCCAUGCCCAUACCUGCGAAGUCUGGCUUUUCUUAGAGAAAACAAAGAUUGCCAACUUACUUGAAUUAUACGUUAGCAAAAUUUGUGUCAACUUUUGAUUCUUCCCAGUACUAAAAGCAACGUGAAUCAGAACCCAAACUGAGAGUUACUAUGGAGAGGUAAAGGUUCAAGAAAUGAAGCAAAGUGGAGGAAGGAAAUCCUCUGGGAACCAUGGACACCCCUCACAGACAGCUGUGCUCAACAGCGGGGAGCCCAUGUGUGGGGCUGCUCUCUCGUCUUCAUUACAUCAGCUUUUCCACAAGCUCACCAUUCCCCCUCAUUACUGCGAGUGCUCCUCCUCUUCCAGAAGCAGGCUCCUGUGGUUACCUGGCACACAAGCCUGAGGUUUUGUACAGAAUCCCAGACCAAAUCAGAGCGGCAGACACAGUCUGAUGCGAAACCCCAAGGACGCACUCCUAAUGUAUGAGAAAACUAGUCUAAUUUCUACUUUGCUGAUUACCACAGUCUCUACGAUUACAUCAAAUACAACCUGAAUUCGAUGUAUCCUUCCCUGAGUGCGCGCCAUGUGCUAGGAAUUGCUCUGUGAGAUGAAUGGAGAAUGGAGAACUGAACAAAAUUAACAUCAUCACCACCAUUAUCGUUACCAGCAUCCCUGCCCCUGUGAAGUUUAUGUUUCUGGAGGGAAAGACAAGAGUGGCAUUCUCUGUAGGAGAAGUAGAUAUUAAUGAAACGUUGCUGUGUAGUCCUAGGAGAGAAAUGAAUUAGUGAGAUUUUGUAUUUGUGUAUCUUUUAAGGCACAUACACUGUAUUUCUCCGGAGUGUACAGGACACUCACGAAUAUUGAGAAGAUACAACUCGAUAGCUUGUAUCCUAUGGGGAGAAGGCAAUUUAGCUAGUUAAUAACCACUGUCGUUUUUUCCCUUCUUUUCCUAUAUAUAACAGAGACACCAAGAAUACUUGUUCACAAUGUAUACCUAAAGAAAAGAAAACAAAACCCCAAAGGGAGCUUGAAAGCAAAUAUCCAGCAAGUACAAUUCAAUAUUGUAAUGUAAUUAUUUGAAAAACAAAGGGGUCUUCUCUGAGAGGUUGAUGAAAGUGAAUCACAAGUGAGCCCAGACUGGGCAAUUUAACAACUUUGAAAG